UACGUAGGGUGCAAGCGUUAAUCGGAAUUACUGGGCGUAAAGCGUGCGCAGGCGGUUGGGUAAGUCAGGUGUGAAAUCCCCGGGCUCAACCUGGGAACUGCAUUUGUGACUGCACAGCUGGAGUGCGGCAGAGGGGGAUGGAAUUCCGCGUGUAGCAGUGAAAUGCGUAGAUAUGCGGAGGAACACCGAUGGCGAAGGCAAUCCCCUGGGCCUGCACUGACGCUCAUGCACGAAAGCGUGGGGAGCAAACAGG
rnacentral:rRNA from 1 species